rnacentral:tRNA from 1 species
GGAGUGGAAUGGGUAGCCAGCGGGUCUUAAAAUCUCUUAAAGUCUUUUAUCUUCACAAUAGUCCGAACAACUCGAAAUCAGGUGUACCAGCAAUGGUACCGUGGGUUCGAAUCCCACCCGCUUCC